GUGAUGGCGGCCUCGCGGCCGCCCGCAACCCCGGGGCGUCUCGAUCUACCGUCGCUCGUCGGCGGAAGGCGAGGCGCACCUAGAGCGCGCACGCUGGGACCCGAAAGAUGGUGAACUAUGCCUGGCCAGGACGAAGUCAGGGGAAACCCUGAUGGAGGUCCGUAGCGAUUCUGACGUGCAAAUCGAUCGUCAGAGCUGGGUAUAGGGGCGAAAGACUAAUCGAACCAUCUAGUAGCUGGUUCCCUCCGAAGUUUCCCUCAGGAUAGCUGGCGCCCGCGGUACCGAGUCCCAUCCGGUAAAGCGAAUGAUUAGAGGCAUUGGGGUCGAAAGGACCUCAACCUAUUCUCAAACUUUAAAUGGGUGGGAACCGCGGCUUUUUUGAACGUGAAGCCGCGGACGCGGAUCAGGGUGCCAAUUG
rnacentral:rRNA from 1 species